ensembl:misc_RNA Metazoa_SRP Metazoan signal recognition particle RNA
GCUGGACAUGGUGGCGCACACCUGUGGUCCCAGCUACUCGGGAGGCUGAAGCGGGAUGAUGGCUUGAGCCCAGGAGGUCUGGGGUGCAGUGAGUGGAGAUCGCACCACUGCACCCCAGCCUGGGCAACAGAGCGAGACCCUGUUUCAA